GACGAACGCUGGCGGCGUGCCUAAUACAUGCAAGUUGAGCGCUGAAGGUUGGUACUUGUACCAACUGGAUGAGCAGCGAACGGGUGAGUAACGCGUGGGGAAUCUGCCUUUGAGCGGGGGACAACAUUUGGAAACGAAUGCUAAUACCGCAUAAAAACUUUAAACACAAGUUUUAAGUUUGAAAGAUGCAAUUGCAUCACUCAAAGAUGAUCCCGCGUUGUAUUAGCUAGUUGGUGAGGUAAAGGCUCACCAAGGCGAUGAUACAUAGCCGACCUGAGAGGGUGAUCGGCCACAUUGGGACUGAGACACGGCCCAAACUCCUACGGGAGGCAGCAGUAGGGAAUCUUCAGCAAUGGACGAAAGACUGACCGAGCAACGCCGCGUGAGUGAAGAAGGUUGUCGGAUCGUAAAACUCUGUUGGUAGAGAAGAACGUUGGUGAGAGUGGAAAGCUCAUCAAGUGACGGUAACUACCCAGAAAGGGACGGCUAACUACGUG
rnacentral:rRNA from 1 species